rnacentral:rRNA from 1 species
AGGACGAACGCUGGCGGCGUGCUUAACACAUGCAAGUCGAGCGGAAAGGCCCUUCGGGGUACUCGAGCGGCGAACGGGUGAGUAACACGUGAGCAACCUGCCCUUAGCUCUGGGAUAGCUCCGGGAAACCGGAAUUAAUACCGGAUAUUACAUCGGCUGACAUCGGCUGAUGUGGAAAGAUUUAUCGGCUAAGGAUGGACUCGCGGCCUAUCAGCUAGUUGGUGGGUAGAAGCCUACCAAGGCGACGACGGGUA